CCUACGGGCGGCUGCAGUGGGGAAUAUUGCACAAUGGGCGCAAGCCUGAUGCAGCCAUGCCGCGUGUGUGAAGAAGGCCUUCGGGUUGUAAAGCACUUUCAGCGGGGAGGAAGGCGUUAAGGUUAAUAACCUUGUCGAUUGACGUUACCCGCAGAAGAAGCACCGGCUAACUCCGUGCCAGCAGCCGCGGUAAUACGGAGGGUGCAAGCGUUAAUCGGAAUUAUUGGGCGUAAAGCGCACGCAGGCGGUCUGUCAAGUCGGAUGUGAAAUCCCCGGGCUCAACCUGGGAACUGCAUUCGAAACUGGCAGGCUAGAGUCUUGUAGAGGGGGGUAGAAUUCCAGGUGUAGCGGUGAAAUGCGUAGAGAUCUGGAGGAAUACCGGUGGCGAAGGCGGCCCCCUGGACAAAGACUGACGCUCAGGUGCGAAAGCGUGGGGAGCAAACAGGAUUAGAUACCCCUGUAGUC
rnacentral:rRNA from 1 species